rnacentral:lncRNA from 1 species
AGACAGACCAUUACCAAAGGAGUUGGACUUGGAGCUUUGUGGAACAUGUCUACUUUCUUACCAAAAAUAUCUUCUCUGUUUCCCGGGCGAACAGUCAGCUUCAACAAGCAGCAGGUUUGAUCAACCAUUCUUCUCAGAGCAAGAAACCUACCAUACUGAAGAACCCAGUGGAAGAGGCUACAGAGUGGUGGCUGUGGGAGAAGUCAUCACUGGUGAUGUCAAAACCCAUUGCUUGAUUGGUGGUGCUGAAGAUGAGCUGUCUGCCCAUCAAAAUCACCAGUAGGAGAGAAAGAAAAAUUUACUUAAUCUGUUGGUUGUUUUGUC